CACUCAACUUGAGAGUUUGAUUCUGGCUCAGAACGAACGCUGGCGGCAGGCCUAACACAUGCAAGUCGAACGACAUAGUGGCAGACGGGUGAGUAACGCGUGGGAACGUACCUUUCGCUACGGAAUAGCUCUUGGAAACGAGUGGUAAUACCGUAUACGCCCUCCGGGGGAAAGAUUUAUCGGCGAAAGAUCGGCCCGCGUUAGAUUAGUUUGUUGGUGGGGUAAUGGCCUACCAAGACUACGAUCUAUAGCUGGUCUGAGAGGAUGAUCAGCCACACUGGGACUGAGACACGGCCCAGACUCCUACGGGAGG
rnacentral:rRNA from 1 species